rnacentral:rRNA from 1 species
AACGCUAGCUACAGGCUUAACACAUGCAAGUCGAGGGGCAGCAUAAGAGUAGCAAUACUUUGGUGGCGACCGGCGCACGGGUGAGUAACGCGUAUGCAACCUACCUAUCAGAGGGGGAUAACCCGGCGAAAGUCGGACUAAUACCGCAUAAAACAGGGGCACCGCAUGGUGAUAUUUGUUAAAAAUUUAUUGCUGAUAGAUGGGCAUGCGUUCCAUUAGGUAGUUGGAGAGGUAACGGCUCACCAAGCCAACGAUGGAUAGGGGAACUGAGAGGUUGGUCCCCCACACUGGUACUGAGACACGGACCAGACUCCUACGGGAGGCAGCAGUGAGGAAUAUUGGUCAAUGGGCGAGAGCCUGAACCAGCCAAGUCGCGUGAAGGAAGAAGGAUCUAUGGUUCGUAAACUUCUUUUGCAGGGGAAUAAAGUGCAGGACGUGUCCUGUUUUGUAUGUACCCUGAGAAUAAGGAUCGGCUAACUCCGUGCCAGCAGCCGCGGUAAUACGGAGGAUCCGAGCGUUAUCCGGAUUUAUUGGGUUUAAAGGGUGCGUAGGUGGUUUAAUAAGUCAGCGGUGAAAGUUUGCAGCUUAACUGUAAAAAUGCCGUUGAAACUGUUAGACUUGAGUGUAAAUGAGGUAGGCGGAAUGCGUGGUGUAGCGGUGAAAUGCUUAGAUAUCACGAAGAACUCCGAUUG